GUGACUUUGGACAAGGAACUUAAUCUGUAGUUCUCCAGGCAUAAGGAGGGAUGUGCAUUUUGGGGACGAGGAAGAUGAGGAGGAGGAGGAGGUUGAAGAUAGCGCACAGCAAGCAAGCAGAGAAACCAUUUUCCCCGAGAGCCAGGAACUGUUUCUCACCCUGGACCUGCAGCCAGUACCCCCCGAACCCACCCAAGGUGGGCUUCCAAACCCACCAGGCAGAGAAGGGACCUCUGCUGCAAAUGUUUCAACGCUCCCCCUAUCAUCUCCGUCCCAGAGGCUAGUGAAGAUUAGAAGGCGAAAAAAAAUGCACUCGCAAUGAAAUGUUCUGAGCUCAUGCUGUCCUCCCGCACCGAAAGAGCCCAGCAGAAUGCGUGGAGGAAGACAAUGUUAGAGUCCAGGAAAGCACAAUAUGACCGUGAAGACAGGUGGCAGGUUGAAGAUAAUAAGUGGUGGGUUGAAGAUGAUAGGUGGCGUCAGCUUGCUGACAGAAGGCGGGCAUCAAUGCUGAGGCUACUGGAGGAUGAAACUGAUAUGCUCCGGCAUAUGGUUGAGAUGCAGGAAAGGCAGCAUGAGCACAGCCCCCCGCUACAGCCCCCGUGUAACCAACCGCCCUCCUCCCCAAGUUCCAUAGCCUCCUCACCCAAACGCCCAAGAAUGAGGUGAGGGAGCCUUCGGGCACCCAACCACUCCACCCCAGAGGACUGCCCAAGCAACAGAAAGCUAGCAUUCAAUAAGUUUUAAAGUGCAGUGUGGCCUUGUCCUUCCCUCCUCCCUCACCCCUCCCGAGGCUACCUUGGCAGUUAUCCCCCUAGUU